GGGUCAGUAGGUUGGUCGUGCCACCGGUACGUACUGGUCUCACUGAUUCCUCCAUCCUGAAGAACCGUAAUGCCAUUAAUUUGGUGUUGCGGGGAAACAGGACUGUCACUUUGAAAAAAUUAGAGUGUUUAAAGCAAGCUAACGCUUGAAUACAUUAGCAUGGAAUAAUGAAAUAGGACGAUCGAUCCUAUUUUGUUGGUCUCUAGGAUUGACGUA
rnacentral:rRNA from 1 species